rnacentral:lncRNA from 1 species
GGAAGAAAAUUACAUACUUAGCACCAUCAGCAGGGGAGCUGCCAAGCAAAUUCUUGAUUGUGGGAACUCUGACAUGGCUUGAAACAUGAGAAUAAGCAUUAAUGGGGUUCUUAACUGUCAGGUAAAAUCUGCGAGAGCCUAGUGAUGUAUUUGUGAUCUUGUGUCAGUUAUCAAAUUUAAACCAUUGUACAAAGAUUCAAUUUAUUUAGCCCAUCAUAGCAUCAAAACCCAGGCUUUCGGAUCUGUAUGGAGUAAUUUCUGAAAUUUUUGAAAAAAAGAACUAUUUGCACACUAAUAAAAAAUAGAUGCUUUGGUAUUUGCUUUUUUUUUUUUAGUGUAAAACAGUUAGUUUUCGGUCUCGCGUGUUUUCUGUUUCCUUUUCAUGGCAUUGGUUUAUUCUCUUGUUAUGUGGUUCAUUUGGUUUUGUUGUUUUCUUUGUUAUAGUUUUUAACAGGAUUUAACCCUGAAAUACUUUCAACUUCGAAAAUAUUUAGUUUAUUUUUCCGGGUUGGUCAGACUUAAAAUUGGAAAACGUUUUUAAGUUAUGUUUCAAAAUUGAAUGAUUAGUUAAGUGAUAAAAAAGACUAUUAGUUGCUCUUUUUAUUGUUUAUUUUUCAUUGUCUUAGUGCACUGUUAUUUGAGGAAUACUUAAAAAUAAAUUAAGAAAGUUUAUCAACUUAAAAAAAUCAAAUUUGUUUACUAUUGAAGAGACCUAGAGACUGGAAGAGAUGAAAGAGAAGAAUUCCAUGUUCUUGGAAGGCAGAAGGGGUUUUGAUUUUCUUUUUAUUUUAUUUUAUUUUGAGGGUUGGACUGGAACUUUGCAUUUUGAAGAGAAGUUUAAUCGUGAAAAAAACAUAUUAUGACUGAAAAUUAUAUGCUUAAAGGAACUUUUUUUGGAUUAAAAAUCACUUAAAACAUUUAAUCAUUAAAAAUUAAAAACCAAUUUAAAUAUCUUUUACCUAGGAAUGUAAUAGUGAUCCCAAUCUGCAUAACAUGAAUCAUCGGGAUCACAUCUAUUAUGGUUUCUUUCAAAUAAAAAUAUCGGAGUACAAGUUCAGGUCAGCAUGAUAAUAUACUGGCGGGAUAGGACGGGUUUGAAUAUAGAGGUGAAAAAUUCGUCUAAAUUUAACUCGAUACAUUAAAUAUUGUAAAUUUAAAUUAAAAAUAUAAAAUAUAAAUACUUUGAAGUUAAAAAUCAUAACCUUAAUUUUUUUAGUUUCACUCAUUCUUCAAGACUCAAAAUGCACCAGAGUCAUCCUCAUCUGCUUCCUCUUCUUCAACAACCACCACUACUAUCAUUUCCACCUUUGACAGUCGCCACCAUCAUCAAUGCCAGGAGUGUAGUGGUCCAACGGAAAAGAAGCUUGGAUGCUGAAGUUUUUGCUGCACUGAUCUCUCUUGGAGUUUCUUUGGGCAAAGGAAAAGAUAGGAUUUCCUCAUGUUUGUUCCUUUUUUUUCUAUACAUAUAUACACACGUGUGUGUGUGUGUGUGUGUGUAUCUUAUUUGUUAAAAAAACACCCAAAAAAUUAUACAUUCUCUCCCUCUCUCAGUUGGUUCAAGAUUAUGGCUUUCUUUUUCUAGUGUUAAAAAAGUUGAACAAAACAUGAAAAUUGAGGGAGAGAAGGUUGGAUAUGACUACUAGUUUGGAUUUCUUAAGUUGUAUAUUUGGGUUAGAUAUAAAAUUCGUGGGAACCCAAUUUGUUGCAAUCCCCACCUUUAUAUCUUCUACGCCAACUACUUAGCAAUUAAUUAAUUUGCAUUUGCUAUCUUGUUUGAUUUUUGCUCAUACAACAAUAAAACAAGAAACCUGA